ensembl:snoRNA
GCACUUGGGGAGGUAGAAAAUUAUAGGUGGAAAUUAAAAAAAAAAAAUGGGAAGAGAGAGAGAAAGGAUCUCCUCAGGACCUCAGACUGGCCUCACAGAAGCCACUCUUUCCUGGAGUCAUGCAACAGGU